rnacentral:rRNA from 1 species
CCCAGACUCCUACGGGAGGCAGCAGUGGGGAAUAUUGCACAAUGGGGGGAACCCUGAUGCAGCGACGCCGCGUGAGUGAAGAAGUAUCUCGGUACGUAAAGCUCUAUCAGCAGGGAAGAAAAUGACGGUACCUGACUAAGAAGCCCCGGCUAACUACGUGCCAGCAGCCGCGGUAAUACGUAGGGGGCAAGCGUUAUCCGGAUUUACUGGGUGUAAAGGGAGCGUAGACGGCAGUGCAAGUCUGGAGUGAAAGGCGGGGGCUCAACCCCCGGACUGCUCUGGAAACUGUACGGCUGGAGUGCAGGAGAGGUAAGUGGAAUUCCUAGUGUAGCGGUGAAAUGCGUAGAUAUUAGGAGGAACACCAGUGGCGAAGGCGGCUUACUGGACUGUAACUGACGUUGAGGCUCGAAAGCGUGGGGAGCAAACAGGAUUAGAUACCCCUGUAA